CAGUAGCCACGGUAAUACGGAGGGUGCAAGCGUUAAUCGGAAUUACUGGGCGUAAAGCGCACGCAGGCGGUCUGACAAGUCAGAUGUGAAAUCCCCGGGCUUAACCUGGGAACUGCAUUUGAAACUGUCAGGCUGGAGUCUUGUAGAGGGGGGUGGAAUUCCAGGUGUAGCGGUGAAAUGCGUAGAGAUCUGGAGGAAUACCGGUGGCGAAGGCGGCCCCCUGGACAAAGACUGACGCUCAGGUGCGAAAGCGUGGGGAGCAAACAGGAUUAGAGACCCCUGUAGUCCCUGUCUCUUAUAC
rnacentral:rRNA from 1 species